UACAGAGGUCCCAAGCGUUGUCCGGAAUCACUGGGCGUAAAGCGCGCGCAGGCGGCUAUCUACGUCCGGGGUGAAAGCCCAGAGCUCAACUCUGGGAUUGCCUUGGAUACGGGAUGGCUUGAGGAUCGGAGAGGCAAGGGGAAUUCCACGUGUAGCGGUGAAAUGCGUAGAGAUGUGGAGGAACACCUGUGGCGAAGGCGGCCCCCUGGUUGGAUACUGACGCUGAGACGCGAAAGCGUGGGGAGCAAACAGG
rnacentral:rRNA from 1 species